CUUUUAUUAAUCAACUAAGGGUUUUAGCUGGUGAUUGGAACUCAAUCCUUGACCUUGGGGAUAAAAUUGGUGGGCGACCGUGUACAUUGGAUCAAUGUCAAGUCUUUAGGGAUUUUGUGAAUGAUGUUGCUCUUGUCAAUCUCCAUUUUUCUUGGUCAUUCUUUUACUUGGGAUAAUCGGAAGUGGGGUGUUCGCCGCAUUUAAGAAAGAUUGGAUCGAUUUCUUGUGUCCAGUGAUCGGCUUUCUCUGCACCUAGGAGCUCUUGUCAAACAUAAAAUGGUGGUGUCCUCUGAUCACAAAGCUCUAAUUCUAUUGGAGGAUGGGUUUUUCUGCAAGGGCUGAUGCCCCUCUCGUUUUGAACAUUUUUGGCUUUCAGAACCCUCUUUUCUUGAGGUGGUUGAAGAUGCUUGGCACAAUCAGAUAAGAGGUAUGCCUUCUUUUCAGCUUAUUUCCUAGUUGGGAUUUCUUAGUGAUCAAUUGAAGAGGUGGAAUAAGGAGGUGGUUGGGAAUUUAGAAGGCCAUGUUUCCUUUCUUCGGUGGAGGAUCUUGGUCAUGUUUCUGCUGGUCAUCGCACUUCAUCUUGGUUUGCGGAAGAGAAUCGUCUUAGAGCUACCUUGCUUCUUUGCAUUUCUCAAGUUAAAGUGAAAUGGGCUCAAAAGUCUCGAUUACAGUGGGUGCAACGAGGAGAUACUAAUACCCGCUUUUUCCAUUAUCGAUUGUUCAACGUCGGGCGAGAAAUCAUACUUCUUCUCUUAAUCAUGUCGAGGUUUGUUUGACGGAUGCUACCCUUAUUGGAGAUGCUUUUCAAACUCAUUUUAAGCACAUCUACUCUGCUUCGUCCAUUGAGAGUAUGCCAUCCUCUAUGGCUCCUGGACCGGAUGGUUCCACUGGUGGUUUCUUUCAUGCUUCUUGGAAUAUUGUUGGGAAGGAGGUUUUUGCAGCCGUGAAAGCUUUUUUUCAUUCGGGCACCUUUGCUAAGUCCUUCAAUGCAACAUUUAUCACUCUUAUUCCAAAGGAUGUCUGCUCGUAAAGGAAAGGCAGCUGCUUCUUCAUCUAGAAGCGGGCAAGCUUCCAGUAGGAAGAAGAAAGGUGCCGCUUCCAAUUCUUCAGCAUCUCGGGCUAGAUCUUUCAAAGACCGAUCCAAAGAUAUAGAGAAUUAUAAUGAAGAGGUCUUCUACAGUCUUGAGGCUGCACUCUCUUAGGAUACCUUCACCAAGAGACCCGUGUUGAUGGAGAAAUCUGUGGUGGUAGAGGAUUUCACUCGAGUUCAAUUGCUCGAGAGACUCACGACCCUGGGUUGGGAGGUUAUGCUAUCUAUUGAUCAUCAGUGCUACCCCAAUCUCGUCCGGUUAUUCUACUACAGCCUACAGGUGGCUUGUGAUAACAGGAUGUACACUCUCACUAGUAGGGUGAAAGGUCGAGAUAUUAGGCUACCACUCGACUUAUUGGCUAAGAUCCUAGGUAUCUCCAUGGAGGGUACCUAGUACUUCUGCCCUCUUAGGGGUAAGGCCUUGGGUCCCCAUAUGAGUGAGUCUCUCCAGAAUCACAUCUACCAGACCAUUUGUGGUAGCGCCAUUCGCCCUGAGUCUAAGACUGCUUUUCUCUCAAAGGUCCGAGUUUUCAGUCGAUUGGUAUAGUUUAACCUGCUUCCCCGAUUCGGGCAUGGGAAUCAGGUGAAUUUCAUGGCUGCAUAUGUGGCCUACUGUCUCUACACUGCUUUGGAUCAUGCUCCACAUCUGUGCCUUCCCUAUGUGAUCAUAAAGACUAUGGAGUUCCAUGCAUCCCAUCCAGCUGAUGGCAACCACCCCUAUGCACGGUCUCUCACCAAGGUAUUUGAGCACUUCCAAGUAGCACUAGAGGGUGAGGUGGGUAGUGCUCUUGUGGACAGAUUCGGUUAGGGCAUCUUGUAUAAGGUGAGUUUGUUUCAUCUGAUGGAGCCAGCUAUGGGGGAGGCAGCCCAAGAGGAGGGCGAUGAUGAGGACUAUAUCUCCGAGGAGGAGGAGGAUAUAGAGAUGGACGUUGAGAUGGAGGAUAAGGUCCCCCUCAGAUUAGUUCCACCUUCUCCAGGUAGAGCCUUUGAUUUCCAGGGUAUGGUGGCCGGACUAAAGACACUACAGGAGGGUCAGGAGAAACUCCUGGCAGGGCAGGCAGCUAUGAAGGAGACUCAGGCAUAGACAUCGAUGAUAAAGACCAUGCCUUAGACUUAACCUCUAGAGACAUAUUGAGGAGUCUAAGGUACCUUCAGGAAGACAUGGAUUUAGUGCACCACCGAUUCGAUUACUAUAAUCGUAGCUUGUGUAUUAACUCAAGAGAAUGGCUGGAGGAAGUCAUUGACUUGGAUGACAUUGAUGAUGAAGACCAGUGAUACUGUUGCUGUUUUUUUUUUUCUUUUCUUUCUUAUGAGAUGUAAUGUGGGAAUUCUAUCUUCUUCUCCUCUUUCUUUUCUAUUCUCUUUUCCUUUAUU